GGGGCGCUAAUACAUGCAGUCGAGCGGACAGAUGGGAGCUUGCUCCCUGAUGUUAGCGGCGGACGGGUGAGUAACACGUGGGUAACCUGCCUGUAAGACUGGGAUAACUCCGGGAAACCGGGGCUAAUACCGGAUGCUUGAUUGAACCGCAGGGUUCAAUUAUAAAAGGUGGCUUCGGCUACCACUUACAGAUGGACCCCCGGCGCAAUAACUAGUUGGUGAGGUAACGGCUCCCCAAGGCCACCAUGCCUAACCCACCUGAAAGGGUGAUCGGCCCCCCUGGGACUGAAACACGGCCCAAACCCCUACGGGAGGCAACAAUAGGGAAUCUUCCCCAAUGGACGAAAGUCUGACGGAACAACCCCCCGUGAGUGAAGAAGGUUUUCGGAACGUAAAACUCUGUUGUUAGGGAAAAACAGUACCGUUCGAAUAGGGCGGUACCUUGACGGUACCUAACCAAAAAGCCCGGCUAACUACGUGCCACAGCCCCGGUAAACGUAGGUGCCAACGUUGCCGGAAUUUUGGGCUAAAGGCCGCCAGGCGUUUUUAAGUCUGAUGGAAACCCCGGCUCACCGGGAGGUCAUGGAAAUGGGGAAUUGAUGCAAAGAAGAAAUGGAAUCCCGUGUACCGUGAAUGCUAAAAUGUGGAGAACCCAGGGGCAAGGCACUUUUGGUCGUAACGACCUGGGCCGAAAGCUGGGAGGAACAGGUUAAUACCUGGUGUCCCCCCGUAACGAUGAUGUUAAGUUUAGGGGUUUCCCCCUUAGUGUGCAGCAACGCUUUAGCACUCGCCUGGGAGUAGGUCGCAAGAUGAAAUCAAGGAUUGACGGGGCCCGCCAAGCGGGGAGCAUGUGGUUAUUCGAAGCAACGGAAAACCUACCGGUUUGACUCCUUUGCAACCCUAAGAUAGGGCUUCCCUUCGGGGCAGAGUGACAGGUGGUGCAUGGUGUCGUCAGCUCGGUCGUGAGAUGUUGGGUUAAUCCCGCAACGGGCGCAACCCUUGUUUUUAGUUGCCAGCAUUCAGUUGGGCACUUUAAGGUGACUGCCGGUGACAAACCGGGGGAAGGGGGGGAGGACGUCAAAUCUUCAUGCCCCUUUUGACCUGGGCUACACACGUGUUACAAUGGGCAGAACAAAGGGCAGGGAAGCCGGGGGGUUAAGCCAAUCCCCCAAAUUUGUUUUCAGUUUGGAUCGCAGUUUGCAACUUGAUUGGGGGAAGCGGGAAUCGUUGGUAAUCGCGGAUCAGCAUGCCGCGGGGAAUACGUUCCCGGGCCUUGUACACACCGCCCGUCACACCACGGGAGUUUGUAACACCCGAAGUCGGGGAGGUAACCUUUUGGAGCCAGCCGCCGAAGGUGGGACAGAUGAUGGGGGAAAGUUGUAUCAGUGCUGGC
rnacentral:rRNA from 2 species